GGACGGUUAUUACACAUCCUAUAUCAGAUAUAUAAGAGCCACCAUACCUGCUGUCAAAUUGCGCUCUCCAUUUCUCGCACUCUUUGUUCUUUAUCAAUUCAUUAAGGAUGUACAUCUGAUAUUAUUGUUCUGGGGGUCGUAAGCGAGUUCCUCUGGAACCCGUAUCACCGAAUUCUAAACAAAAUGAGAAACGUCGAUAUGUUCAUCCAACUGAAUUUAAUGUGCAAUACAGAGAUACUGAUACUGAAAAUUCCAAUCCCAACAUUAUGAUAUCAGGUUCCACG